rnacentral:rRNA from 1 species
CGGUUAAGUUAGAAAGGGCGCACGGUGGAUGCCUUGGCACUAGGAGCCGAUGAAGGACGGGACGAACACCGAUAUGCUUCGGGGAGCUGUAAGCAAGCUUUGAUCCGGAGAUUUCCGAAUGGGGAAACCCACCACUCGUAAUGGAGUGGUAUCCAUAUCUGAAUACAUAGGAUAUGAGAAGGCAGACCCGGGGAACUGAAACAUCUAAGUACCCGGAGGAAGAGAAAGCAAAUGCGAUUCCCUGAGUAGCGGCGAGCGAAACGGGACCAGCCCAAACCAAGAGGCUUGCCUCUUGGGGUUGUAGGACACUCUGUACGGAGUUACAAAGGAACGAGGUAGAUGAAGAGGUCUGGAAAGGCCCGCCAUAGGAGGUAACAGCCCUGUAGUCAAAACUUCGUUCUCUCCUGAGUGGAUCCUGAGUACGGCGGAACACGUGAAAUUCCGUCGGAAUCCGGGAGGACCAUCUCCCAAGGCUAAAUACUCCCUAGUGACCGAUAGUGAACCAGUACCGUGAGGGAAAGGUGAAAAGCACCCCGGAAGGGGAGUGAAAGAGAUCCUGAAACCGUGUGCCUACAAGUAGUCAGAGCCCGUUAACGGGUGAUGGCGUGCCUUUUGUAGAAUGAACCGGCGAGUUACGAU